AAUAAGUACAGUUUUGCACUAUUCACGUUCAACGUUUGACCGUUCGUCUUAUUUAAUUUUUUUAUUAGUAUUUUUAUUACUAUUAGAUAAUAAAACAUUAAUAGUACUUUAUGUGUGACUAAAUAUUUGUAAAUAAUACGGAUGGUCAAAUAUUGGACACAUAUAUUCACAGCUGUAUUUAUU
rfam:Oryza sativa (indica cultivar-group) chromosome 7, whole genome shotgun sequence.